GAAGUCGACGUUGGCGGCACUGCAAUGCCAGUCGCAUUUUUAUAGUCAAAGCGAAACCAGCGUUAGUGCGGCAAUACGAGAAAAUUGCCUUUGCGGAUAAAGGAAAAAGAAAAAAUUCAAAAUGCUUGCUGAUAAUUUUGGCGUUGCGUUUGAACGUUUGUGGUCACGCACUAGAAUAAUGAUUUUUAUUUAUAAUGCGAGUGUCAAGUGAAAACGAUAUUUGGAAAAUAUUUGCAAUGCCACAUCCAAGUGUUUGAAUGCACAUUUGUGUGUGUGUACGUGUAUUUAUGUGAGAAACAGCGUUGCAUGCAGUUCACUGGAGUAUUUAAGUGAUUUCAGAUUGCAACGAAAUGUUGGCGCUUAUAAAGAAAGGUUGCUGCUCCACCUGAGAUACCAGCGAAAAAACUAAGACGCGUAAAAUUGAAUAGUAAUUUUUUGAAUUAUUACAAAUUUUGUACGCUCUCAAAGACAAUAAAUAAAUAUAUUUUAUUUAUAUGUGUAA